ACUCCCUUUCACAGAUGUGAGGCACUGGGCAGCGCUCCUCACUGCAGUUUGAUUUGUUUUCAAAACCUCUAGCAUGGGAAGAUUUAGCACGUUCAGCCGACUGGGAAACCCUGUGUGAAAACUACCUCUCUGGGCGCCCACCUUGCAGCCGCUGGCUGUGCCCAUUGGCCAGCUGAGUUCCAGAGGCUUGAGGACUGUUCACUGGAAGCUGCAAAGUGCACGCUCAUCUUCAUAUAGAACUGCACAGCAUCUCAAAGACUGCCAAGUCAACCCGGAGCACAGCAUUUGCUAAAGGAUGCCUGAUGCACCAGUAAGUGGAUCCAUCUGGCUGAUGUUCAAAAGGUGGCAGAGGGCAGAGCCUGACGCCCCUUCUCUCAGCCAGAACGCCCUUCCUACAUCUUCAGCACGGCCCUGUCAUUUGUGAAUGCAAGAGUCCCGCAGCACGGCCAUGUCAAUGGCACCCUUUCACCUUCUCCCUUCCCACCACUUCCAACGCCCAACUCUCACCCGAGGAGGAAAGCGGAGACAGGUCCACUUCUUGUGGCACAGACUCUGAGCUAGAGACCCCUGCAUGGCCUGAGGCUGUGUACGCCUGUCCACAUUUCCUCAGGCUUCACCUGAUUCACAGGACCGCCAUCACUCUGCAGGCCCAGUGAGCCACGCAGCAACAGAGUAUAAGAACACUGACCUGAGCAGAAACACUUUCCUGUCCUGUUUAUACACUAUCUCGCCUGUGUGACUACUUUCCAAAGAAAGAAAAUUCCUAAAACUAAAUGAGAUGCUGACAGAAGACUGAAUUGUUUAGGACAUGUUUGGAAACUAUUAAAAUACUCAAAUUAUUACAUAGGUAAGCAAAAUUACUCUUAAGAGACACUCUAAGUUACUACUUAGCCUCGGGGGAAGCCCUCGCUGUCAGCUGCUCAUGGCUGAGAGGCAGGUGUCCCCUGGAUUAAGUAUAGACACCAAUUUUGUCUUUUUCCAGAGGAGCCAGAAGGACCACUAACCUGGAUAGCAACUCUGCUCUGAGCACUGCCGUGCUCACAGAGGUUUUGCUCCAUUCUCAGCGCCGAACUGGGUUAAAAGGAAUGCAAUUACAACUGGCUUACACAAAGCUAUCAAGCAAAUGCAGGAGACAGUCACUACAACUAGGAUGUAGAAUUGUAAUGUGACAAAAAAUAAAUUACGUGAAAUAUAUGUCUUUAGGAACAAC